CUACGUGCCAGCAGCCGCGGUAAUACGGAAGGUCCAGGCGUUAUCCGGAUUUAUUGGGUUUAAAGGGAGCGUAGGCUGGAGAUUAAGUGUGUUGUGAAAUGUAGACGCUCAACGUCUGAAUUGCAGCGCAUACUGGUUUCCUUGAGUACGCACAACGUUGGCGGAAUUCGUCGUGUAGCGGUGAAAUGCUUAGAUAUGACGAAGAACUCCGAUUGCGAAGGCAGCUGACGGGAGCGCAACUGACGCUUAAGCUCGAAGGUGCGGGUAUCAAACAGGAUUAGNUACCCUGGUAGUCCGCACAGUAAACGAUGGAUGCCCGCUGUUGGUACCUGGUAUCAGCGGCUAAGCGAAAGCAUUAAGCAUCCCACCUGGGGAGUACGCCGGCAACGGUGAAACUCAAAGGAAUUGACGGGGGCCCGCACAAGCGGAGGAACAUGUGGUUUAAUUCGAUGAUACGCGAGGAACCUUACCCGGGCUUGAAUUGCAGAGGAAGGAUUUAGAGAUA
rnacentral:rRNA from 1 species